CAGUUUUGGUUUGUUAUAUUAUUUGAAGUCGUGCUAUUAAAUGUGAAAAAGGAUGCAAAGGGAAUCCAAAUUUUCUAGUUUUAAAGAAAGAAAAGGAGUUUUUGAAUGUUUAUAACGUCAAGUCCUAAGAUUAGAUUGUACUUUUGUUUCUUUUUAUUUUUUGUAAGCCUGAUUUGAAUGAACAUGCUUAACUAGAAAAUUUAAGUUGGAGGGGGAAUUUGACAGAAGCUGCAGGGUUUGACCACAGAUAGACUCAUUUCUGUGAAAAGGAUUCCUCAUAUAUAUGUUUGUCCUUUCCAUUUUCUUGUUCCUAUGAUAUAACUUUUCUUAAAGACUCCUGAUCCUAAAAUCUGUGUCUUCAAUGGGCCUGCAAAAGUUCACUUUAACAAAUAUUUAUUAAGGGCUUUUCUUUUCCAAAAUAAUGAUGCUCAAAGGAGAAAGAAGGUUGGCUUCAGAACAUGGGCAUCCCCUGCAUGAAACCUAUCUUAUUUUCAUGUCAAAAUUGAGAAAGAUUCUUCCACCAACUUAAAAAUGUGGUCUGCAACAAGGGGGAGGUGAAAGGCUAUGGAUCAAGGAGUGACUGAAGUUUUGACUUUCUUUGUUAUUGGAAAAGUUGUUUGCUUGCUCUUCUUCAAGACAAGAUCUGGCCAUAACUCGUGUGAUGGCAGAUAUAUGAAGUAGGCCAUUGAGGAUGGAUGAGGGAUGGAAUACAAUCCAGUUGAAUCUUUCUGAUUUUACUAUCUUGAGACAUUGUGAGUUCAGGUUCCUGCAAAUUGCCGACUGAGGACUUAUUUCUCUGACCACCAUUAUUCAGAAGAGGAACUCCCACCAGAAUUUUAAAUUGUAUCUCUGAAUGCAGAAAGAAUGAUGAGAUCAACAAAACCGUCAGUAUCAGAAGAGCUGGGCACCCUUGAUAUUCAUGUUUUGCACAUUUUCUUUGAGCCAGUCAACUGGUUAUAUCCAACUGGCCUGUAAGUUGAGAAAAUAUGCAGUAAUGUAUCAAACUCCUAGAUGUAUUCUUGUGGUGGUUAAAUUAUUAUGUUGAGAAGCUUGUUUAGAUGUCAGGGAAUGGAAAGAUGGAACCCAUACGAGCAUCUAUGCAGCUGUUUUUCUAAAUGCCAUAACUUGUAUCUCUUAUUUGUAGCAUCUACUUGUAAUCAGUUGUUUAAUCUGUUGUUUUGAUGGAAGUGGUUUCCAAGCGGGCAUAACUCCUCGUGUUCCACAGCAAGGUUGUUUUAAUGAUUGAUCUAGAAGAGGUAAAUAAGGCGGAGGUAGUGUGUGACUGAAUGGGCUAUUCCAUACUUGUUUGUGGCACAAUAAAAGCUAAGGGACUUGUGCUUCUUCGCCCAUAUUUUCUAAACAUGAUAUCAUCAAAAUUCAGAAGGUGCUUCUUCAGUCCUCACCAAGGGAUGGCAUUUAAUCCUACCGGGCUUCAGGGUUGCAUUUGAGAUGAACUCCAUUCUUUCUAGCUGCUUAAUACUUGUCUAAAUAUUACCAUUUUAGGAUUUCAUGAAGUGACUAUUUAUCUCGUCAAACUCAUUUUGUGGGUCGGAUUCAUGAUUUCCUUAUUGAUUUGGGUAUUUCUAUUUCAUACUGUAUUUUUGUGGUUAAGGUCAUGACCAUGUUGUAAUCUCAAUAUCUGUAUGAAUUAAAUCCAAUC